AGCGAACGCUGGCGGCAGGCUUAACACAUGCAAGUCGAGCGGGCACUUUCGGGUGUCAGCGGCGGACGGGUGAGUAGCGCGUGGGAACGUGCCCUCUGGUUCGGAAUAACUCAGGGAAACUUGAGCUAAUACCGGAUACGCCCUUUUGGGGAAAGGCUUGCUGCCGGAGGAUCGGCCCGCGUCUGAUUAGCUAGUUGGUGAGGUAACGGCUCACCAAGGCGACGAUCAGUAGCUGGUCUGAGAGGAUGAUCAGCCACACUGGGACUGAGACACGGCCCAGACUCCUACGGGAGGCAGCAGUGGGGAAUAUUGGACAAUGGGCGCAAGCCUGAUCCAGCCAUGCCGCGUGAGUGAUCAAGGCCUUAGGGUUGUAAAGCUCUUUUAUCCGGGACGAUAAUGACGGUACCGGAGGAAUAAGCCCCGGCUAACUUCGUG
rnacentral:rRNA from 1 species